UACGUAGGGAGCAAGCGUUGUCCGGAAUCAUUGGGCGUAAAGCGCGCGUAGGUGGCUUCGUAAGUCCGUUGUGAAAGUCAAAGGCUCAACCUUUGAAAGCCGAUGGAUACUGUGAAGCUAGAGUACGGAAGAGGCGAGUGGAAUUCCUGGUGUAGCGGUGGAAUGCGCAGAUAUCAAGGAGGAACACCAAUAGCGAAGGCAGCUCGCUGGGACGUUACUGACACUGAGGCGCGAAAGCGUGGGGAGCGAACAGG
rnacentral:rRNA from 1 species